UACGUAGGGCGCAAGCGUUGUCCGGAAUUAUUGGGCGUAAAGAGCUCGUAGGCGGUUUGUCACGUCGGCUGUGAAAACCCGAGGCUCAACCUCGGGCCUGCAGUCGAUACGGGCAGACUAGAGUGCUGUAGGGGAGACUGGAAUUCCUGGUGUAGCGGUGAAAUGCGCAGAUAUCAGGAGGAACACCGGUGGCGAAGGCGGGUCUCUGGGCAGUAACUGACGCUGAGGCGCGAAAGCUAGGGUAGCAAACGGG
rnacentral:rRNA from 1 species